rnacentral:rRNA from 1 species
GAUGAACGCUGGCGGCGUGCCUAAUACAUGCAAGUCGAGCGAACGGACGAGAAGCUUGCUUCUCUGAUGUUAGCGGCGGACGGGUGAGUAACACGUGGAUAACCUACCUAUAAGACUGGGAUAACUUCGGGAAACCGGAGCUAAUACCGGAUAAUAUUUUGAACCGCAUGGUUCAAAAGUGAAAGACGGUCUUGCUGUCACUUAUAGAUGGAUCCGCGCUGCAUUAGCUAGUUGGUAAGGUAACGGCUUACCAAGGCAACGAUGCAUAGCCGACCUGAGAGGUUGAUCGGCCACACUGGGACGGAGACACGGUCCAGACUCCUACGGGAGGCAGCAGUAGGGAAUCUUCCGCAAUGGGCGAAAGCCUGACGGAGCAAAACCGCGUGAGUGAUGAAGAUCUUCGGAUCGUAAAGCUCUGUUAUUAGGGAAGAACAUAUGUGUAAGUAACUGUGCACAUCUUGACGGUACCUAAUCAGAAAGCCAAGGCUAACUACGUG